CCAUUGUUAGUGAAAAUAAUCGAUACACCAGAAUUCCAGAGACUUAGAAAUCUGAAAUAACUUGGUGCUCUCUAUCAUGUGUUUCCAGGGGCUUCACACAAUAGAAUUGAACACUGUAUAGGCACUUGCUAUAUAGCUACACAGUUGGUCAAUCACUUAGUAAAAACCCAAGAUGACUUGCUGACAAAGCAAGAAGCACAGUGUGUCAAAAUUGCAGCAUUAUGUCAUGAUCUAGGCCAUGGUCCAUUUUCUCAUCUCUUUGAUGGAGAAAUAAUUCCAAAGCUUAAACCUAAAGGAUAUGAAAAUUGGAAGCAUGAGUUGGGUUCGAUCAAACUAUUUGAUCAUAUAGUAGAGAAGUAUAAAUUAAAGUCAGAAUUUAAGAAGCUUGGUUUAGAAAUCACGGAGAGACAUCUAAUUAAAGAAAUGAUAUACGGAC